ACGCUGGCGGCACGCCUAACACAUGCAAGUCGAACGAAGUAGCAAUACUUAGUGGCAGACGGGUGAGUAACAUGUAGGUAUCUACCCUAUGGCCUGGAAUAACACGAGGAAACUUGUGCUAAUACCGGAUAAGUCUUUACGGAGAAAGCUUUAUGCACCAUUGGAUGAGCCUGCACUUGAUUAGUUUGUUGGUGGGGUAAUGGCCUACCAAGACUUUGAUCAAUAGCUGAUUUGAGAGGAUGAUCAGCCACAUUGGGACUGAGACACGGCCCAAACUCCUACGGGAGGCAGCAGUGGGGAAUCUUGCACAAUGGAGGAAACUCUGAUGCAGCGAUGCCGCGUGAGUGAAGAAGGCCCUUGGGUUGUAAAGCUCUUUCGUCGGGGAAGAAAAUGACUGUACCCGAAUAAGAAGGUCCGGCUAACUUCGUGCCAGCAGCCGCGGUAAUACGAAGGGACCUAGCGUAGUUCGGAAUUACUGGGCUUAAAGAGUUCGUAGGUGGUUGAAAAAGUUGGUGGUGAAAUCCCAGAGCUUAACUCUGGAACUGCCAUCAAAACUUUUCAGCUAGAGUUUGAUAGAGGAAAGCAGAAUUUCUAGUGUAGAGGUGAAAUUCGUAGAUAUUAGAAAGAAUACCAAUUGCGAAGGCAGCUUUCUGGAUCAUUACUGACACUGAGGAACGAAAGCAUGGGUAGCGAAGAGGAUUAGAUACCCUCGUAGUCCAUGCCGUAAACGAUGUGUGUUAGACGUUGGAAAUUUAUUUUCAGUGUCGCAGCGAAAGCGAUAAACACACCGCCUGGGGAGUACGACCGCA
rnacentral:rRNA from 1 species